UAGCUUAGUGACCUUGGUAUUGAAUGUCUCCAUCGCUUUUAUCCACUGGACUUCAGGAGAAAUGUAAGGCUUUUCCAAUGUACAACUGGCAAUAGAAGAAGCAAGUACUGUUGACUCUUGUAGUGUUUGCAGUGAUCUUCUCAUAGUUUAUGAAUGAAAACCCUCACAAGCACAGUCCUCUCUCCCUCUGUACCAACUGGAAGAGUCAGCAAUCUGGCAAUGCGCAGAGCCAAGGGUGAUGGACCAAGAAGGUUUCUAAAUAUCUACAGGGAGCCUGCAGACACAGGGUACAGAACUAUAGGCUGGAAGGUACGUAAGAUAAAAUUUUUAGGUUUAUACUGUAUAUCCUUUGUGCAAAUAAAAUGUAGAAUGUUAUGCUCUGAUAGAAUACUAAAGGUACCAUAUUUAAUGCCCUUAAAAAGAAAACUCCACAGACUAACUUUCUUCAUAUUCUCCUCUUCUUUGACUCUAUUCAGUGUCAAAUUGCAAUCAAAGCUAUAAGAAAUAUGUAAAGAACUCUUCUAUAUGUGUUCUAGGAGAUCAUCCAUUUACUUCUCUUCCGUCUAACAAUCCCGUGUCAUGGAGCAUAGCUGGACUGAGUAGUCUGCGUAUGUGUCAUGGCUGCUUGGGGUCACUCGGGGCACCAAAAAGUCAACCAGACUUUUUCAAGAGUAUUUGGAAACAGGUCUAAGGCAGAAAAAGGAAUCCUUUUUAUCAAUAAAGAUAAGUCAUGCUACCUCUGCCAGUUUCUUGGUGUAAGACAACUUGAUGACGAUCAGGAUUCUUAAGUUCCAUUAUAUUUUCUAGGAUCCACCCACUUAAAUAUCAUCAGAAAAUUAUGCAGACUGACUAGCACUAUGGCCAAGUGUAUAUCCUGUUUACUUCUAUUAUUCAUUUCUAGUCUUCCUUCCAUCUAUUACAGGUAAAGAAACCAUUACUUGAUAAGGUUUUUCAGCCAAAGGAUUUACGAUUUACUAACUUGUGAUAUCAAGGAUUUCAAAUACCAUACAUGGAUAAACAGUAUAGAAGAAUCAUAUUCUCAUAAACUCACAUGUUUGAAAGGCCAACAGAGCUAUUUCAGCACAGAAAUAUAGAAAACAUAGAAGGCAAUAGGCAGUGAUUACCUGUAGGUCCUGUGGGGCCCGGACUCCCUGGAAGACCAAUUCCAAAUUCACCUCUCUCACCUUUCUGUCCUCGUAAACCUAUUAAAAAGAAGAAACAAAUAAUACAUGAACACUGAAUGUGCACAGAAUGUCUCUUUAACUGCCUGCAAAUGGCUGCAACUUUAACUGAACACCAAUACAGAAACUGAAAGAAGAAGAGACAGGAGAUAUAAAAGGCGGUAAUAUCCAGUCACUGACAUACACACAAAACAAUAACAUUUAAA